rnacentral:rRNA from 1 species
AACGAGCGCAACCCUUAUCGUUAGUUGCCAGCGGGUAAGUGCCGGGGACGUCUAGCGAAACUGCCGGUGUAAACCGAGAGGAAGGUGGGGAUGACGUCAAAUCAGCACGGCCCUUAUGUCCAGGGCUACACACGUGUUACAAUGGCCGGUACAGAGGGCAGCUACCUGGAGACAGGAUGCGAAUCUCGAAAGCCGGUCUCAGUUCGGAUCGGAGUCUGCAACUCGACUCCGUGAAGCUGGAUUCGCCAGUAAUCGCGCAUCAGCCAUGGCGCGGUGAAUACGUUCCCGGGCCUU